GCUUGGGACAGUUGCUGGCGGAUUUGCAUCUGCAUCUGCAUGUGCACGUUCUGUCAUUCUACUUUUUCUGUCGGCCCUUUUCGAUUUCAAUUCACACCUGUGCACCCAUCGUAGGUCUUCGAAAGAAGAUCUAUGUCUUUUAUAACACUGCUUUGUAUGGCCAUAGAAUGUAAAAAUCUAUUACAACUUUCAGCAACGGAUCUCUUGGUUCUCGCAUCGAUGAAGAACGCAGCGAAUUGCGAUAAGUAAUGUGAAUUGCAGAUUUCCAGUGAAUCAUCGAAUCUUUGAACGCACCUUGCGCUCCUUGGUAUUCCGAGGAGCAUGCCUGUUUGAGUGUCAUUAAAUUCUCAACCAUGUCUUGAUCGAUUUCGAGCAACAUGGCUUGGAUUUGGGAGUUGCUGGCGACGAAAGUC
rnacentral:misc_RNA from 1 species